GCGAGGGUGGCGGAAUUGGCAGACGCGCAGGAUUUAGGAUCCUGUGCCCCUGGGGCAUAGGGGUUCGACCCCCCUCCCUCGCACCA
rnacentral:tRNA from 1 species